rnacentral:lncRNA from 1 species
CAGUGGCGUAAUCUCGGCUCACUGCAACCUCCGCCUCCCGGGGGUUCAUUCUCCUGCUUCAGCCUCCCGAGUAGCUGGGAUUCCAGGCAUGCGCCACCACGCCCGGCGAAUUUUUGUGUUUUUAGUAGAGACCGGGUUUCUCCAUGUUGGUCAGGCUGGUCUCGAACUCCCGACCUCAGGUGAUCUGCCCGCCUCAGCCUCCCAAAGUGUUGAGAUUACAGGCGUGAGCCACCGCGCCCGGCCAGCAAAUCAACCACUCUUAAUCUGU